ensembl:snRNA U2 U2 spliceosomal RNA
AUUGCUUCUUGGCCUUUUGGCUAAGAUCAAGUGUAGUAUCAAAACGAUGUGAUCCAGUGAGAACUGUGUGUUCAAUUUUUCCUUGUUCUGAAUGAGAGUGUUUCAAUUUUCCUGUCUUUGUUGCAUUACCAAUGGGCAUGGGUGUGUCUGG